rfam:Myotis brandtii contig263984, whole genome shotgun sequence.
AUCACUUCUCAGACUUUUGGCUAAGAUCAAGUGUAGGUAUCUGUUCUUGUCAGUUUAACAUUAAAGCUACUAGCUGGUACAGAGAACUAGGGUGUGCCCCUGGACACUUCAACAUUGAGAUGAGGAAUGAGAAAACAGGAGGCACCUUGU